CGGAGCUUUGAGUAAAGUGCAUAACCGCACGUUGAGGGAGGAGCCUACGUCCUAUCAGCUAGUUGGUAAGGUAACGGCUUACCAAGGCGAUGACGGGUAGCUGGACUGAGAGGUCGGUCAGCCACAACUGCACUGAGAUACGGGCAGUACACCUACGGGUGGCAGCAACCAGGAAUAUUGCGCAAUGGACGAAAGUCUGACGCAGCGACGCCGCGUGGAGGAUGAAGGCCUUAGGGUCGUAAACUCCUUUUGCCCAGCCAUUCACGGCAGGGCGAAUAAGCCUCUACUAACUACGUGCCAGAAGUCUCGGUAAUACGUAGGAGGCAAGCGUUAUCCGGAUUUAUUGGGCGUAAAGUGUGCGUAGGCGUUCCAUUAAGUCGUUCUUUAAAUACUAAGGCUUAACCUUAGGAAUGGGUACAAUACUGUUGGAAUUGAGGAUUGAACGGGGUGCUAGAACAGCUAGUGUAGUAGUGAAAUGCGUUGAUAUUAGCUGGAAUACCAAAGGCGAAGGCAGGCACCUGGUUUUUUCCUGACGCUGGGGCACGAAAGCUAGGGCAGCGAAACAGAUUAGAUACCUGUGUAGUCCUAGCCGUAAACGAUGUCCGCUAACUCUGGCCGACUAUUCGGCCGGGGUGUAAGCUAACGCGUUAAGCGGACCGCCUGGGGAGUACGGCCGCAAGGCUAAAACUCAAAGGAAUUGACGGGGACCCGCACAACCGGUGGAGCGUGUGGUUCAAUUCGAGACAAAACGAAAAACCUCACCAGGGAUUGACAUGCUAUCGUUUAUUCUCUAGGAAACUAGGGGAAAUCCGCAAGGAUGAUAGCACAGGUGCUGCAUGGCUGUCGUCAGCUCGUGCCGUGAGGUGUUCCCUUAAGUGGGGAAACGAGCGCAACCCCCAUUCAAUGUUAAAUAAUCAUUGGAGACAGCCCCGCCUUUGGUGGGGAGGAAGGAGGGGAAGACGUCAAGUCAGCACGGCCCUUAUGCCCUGGGCUACACACACACUACAAUGGCGAAGAACAAUGGGUUGCAAGCGCGUAAACGCAAGCUAAUCCCUGAAAUUUCGCCUCAGUUCAGAUUGGGGUCUGAAACCUGACCCCAUGAAGUCGGAAUCGGUAGUAAUCACGGAUCAGCAUGCCGCGGUGAAUACGUUCUCGGGUCUUGUACACACCGCCCGUCAAGGCAGCAAAGUCGGUAGCUAUCGAACCCCGCAUUUGCGGGGGAGAUAGAGAUUGGCGAUGAAGCUUAAGUCGUAACAAGGUA
rnacentral:rRNA from 1 species